UGGGGAAUUUUGGACAAUGGGCGAAAGCCUGAUCCAGCAAUGCCGCGUGUGUGAAGAAGGCCUUCGGGUUGUAAAGCACUUUUGUCCGGAAAGAAAUCCUUGGCUCUAAUACAGUCGGGGGAUGACGGUACCGGAAGAAUAAGCACCGGCUAACUACGUGCCAGCAGCCGCGGUAAUACGUAGGGUGCAAGCGUUAAUCGGAAUUACUGGGCGUAAAGCGUGCGCAGGCGGUUUGCUAAGACCGAUGUGAAAUCCCCGGGCUCAACCUGGGAACUGCAUUGGUGACUGGCAGGCUAGAGUAUGGCAGAGGGGGGUAGAAUUCCACGUGUAGCAGUGAAAUGCGUAGAGAUGUGGAGGAAUACCGAUGGCGAAGGCAGCCCCCUGGGCCAAAUACCGACGCUCAUGCACGAAAGCGUGGGGAGCAAAACAGGAUUAGAUACCCUGGUAGUCCACGCCCUAAACGAUGUCAACUAGUUGUUGGGGAUUCAUUUCCUUAGUAACGUAGCUAACGCGUGAAGUUGACCGCCUGGGGAGUACGGUCGCAAGAUUAAAACUCAAAUGAAUUGACGGGGUCAUA
rnacentral:rRNA from 1 species